rnacentral:lncRNA from 1 species
UAAGAUUAUAAACGACUCAGGUGUUCCAACCCUUUGACAUGCUCCAGAAUGGUCCAUGAAGCUGCAGGGUUCUCAGACAGUAGUUAGACCCACCCAAGAUGGGCAGAAAGUUGCUAACUCCAGACACCUCAGAGGCAAUUGUGGGACAGGAUGCAGCCAGAGCAGGCAAGGCUAGCUUCCAUUCACAGAUGCUCAGCAGUCUAUAGGAAUAUCUGGUAACUAUCUGGGCCAGAUAGUUCUUCUCCUACGGCAACAGACUGCUUCAUUCUGGAGAUUGCCCUGCCUUCCUAGCUACAACAGCCCCAGGGUCUGAGAUUCCAGCACAGCACUGCUCAAAAUAAGUUUUCAGAAGACUACAGUUUCAGUCAGAGCAUCAUUAAUCAGUUCAAGAGCCCUAACCACAGCAAUACGAAGCCACCCCAUAGUAACCAAAGGGAGGAGAACCAAGCAGGGGCGAGCGGGUAUUUUCAAGCUAUGAAAGCACUGUCG